rnacentral:rRNA from 1 species
GAACUCGCACAAGCGGUGGAGCAUGCGGUUUAAUUCGAUGCAACCCGAAAAACCUUACCAGGUCUUGACAUCCCGCUGACAGGUCUAGAGAUAGACCCUUCCUUCGGGACAGUGGAGACAGGUGGUGCAUGGUUGUCGUCAGCUCGUGUCGUGAGAUGUUGGGUUAAGUCCCGCAACGAGCGCAACCCUCGUCACUAGUUGCUAACAUUAAGUUGAGGACUCUAGUGAGACUGCCGAUGACAAAUCGGAUGAAGGUGAGGAUGACGUCAAAUCAUCAUGCCCCGUAUGACCUGGGCUACACGCGUGCUACAAUGGCCAGUACAAAGAGUUGCGAAGCCGUGAGGUGGAGCUAAUCUCAAAAAGCUGGUCUCAGUUCGGAUUGUAGUCUGCAACUCGACUACAUGAAGGCGGAAUCGCUAGUAAUCGUGAAUCAGCAUGUCACGGUGAAUACGUUCUCGAGUUUU